rnacentral:lncRNA from 1 species
GCAUAUGGAGGUUCCAGGCUAGGGGUCAUAUUGGAACUGCUGCUGCCAGCCUACGCCACAGCCACAGCCACGGGACCCGAGCCACGUCUGCGAUCUACACCACAGCUCACCGCAGCGCUGGAUCCUUCACCCACCUUGUGAGGCCAGGGAUCAAACCUGUGUCUUCAUGGAUACUAGUCAGGUUUGCAACCCGCUGAGCCACAGCAGGAACUCCCUGCGGUCAGGCUCUUAACCCACUGCACCACAGUGGGAACUCCCGCUGUUCGCUUGGGGCGCCCACCAGCCAAAGGGCGAGGGCCCAGAAGGCUAAGGGUGGGUGGGGGCAGACUCAGUCAUGCACCACCCCCUGCGCCCUUGCUGGAAGCGUGGUCCAAGGGGGGCAACGUAUAAUGUGAGCACAUGAGGCUGUGGGCACCUCGAUUUGCACACCUCGGCCCUGGAUGCCCUCACAGGACCGGAGGCCGGCGGAGCACCGCCCCCACUCCUGGGACCGGCCCGGCCCGGCCCCAGCCAUCACCCCCCCCCCCGCCGCCGCCACGGCCCCCCUGACAAAACAGCGAGGGAAGAUGUGCCCACGUGGGGCCCUGGGUUCAGAGGAGCACAGGGAAGCUGUGCAGAGCAAACGCGGAUGGAGGCAGCCGACCGUGGGGUACGGUCCAGUGAGCCCCACUCCCUCAGGGAGAUGAGCGAGCCCAGGAGCAGUUAAGAGCAGUGAAUUCUUCAGAGCCAAUUAAAAAAGCAAUUGUGGACAAUGGCAUUUGAUUCGUAAGAUGGGAGGGAAGCUUGCACGUGGCCUUGGUGAAAAUCUCUACAGCCCAGCCCUGCGGGUGGACCUGGCCAGGCACUGAGCUGGCCGCCUGGCACCGAGGCGCAGCCAGAUAACCCCUCAGGAGUCUACCGCCUGGCAGGGAUGCGGGCUGGCGACCCCACAUCAGGGGCCAAAAUUCCUAAGCCCAGCACCUGACACGCUACCAACCCACUCAGGGAGGCGCCCUGUUUUCCCCAUUCAACAGGCUUCAACCGGAUCAUUUUAACUUACUGGACAGAGAACACAACGAGAAGUCAACUGACUUUCUUAACAUCAGCCCCAGGGUAGGGGCAUCGGAGGAGUUUCCUGGUUGUUGAUGCCAUAAAAAGACGGAUUCAAGAGUUUGCAGCUCUUCUUUUUUUUAUUUGCUCUUUUUUUGCUUUUCAGGGCUGCACCCACGGCAUAUGGAAGGUCCCAGGUUAGGGGUCCAGUCGGGUACAGUCCACAGCCGGCGGCUACAGCUCCGAUUCAACCCCCAGCCUGGGAAUCUCCAUAUGCCGCGGCAGCGGCCCAAGAAAUGGCAAAAAGACCAAAAAAAAAACAACAACAAGGGAUUCACUAAAAUAUGACGCAAGCGACCCCAUCUACAAAACAGAAACGGACUCAGAGACACGGAGAACAGACUCGUGUGUGCCAAGAGGGAGGGGAAGGGAGGGAUGGACGGGGAGUUUGGGGUCAGUAGAUGCGAACUAUUCCAUUUCGAAGGGCUAAGCAACGAGGUCCUGCUGUGCAGCCCAGGGAACUCUAUCCCACCUCUUGGGACAGAACAUGACGGAAGACGAUACGAGAAAGGGAAUGUGUGUAUGUGUGUGACCGGGUCACUUUGCUGUGCGGCAGAAAUGGACGCAACACUGUAAAUCAACUCUAAUAAAAAAUUUUAAAUAAACCAAGAGAUUCAAAUCAGAUCCCAACCCGCCCUGUGACCGGGUCCAGUUACGCAGCCUCCGGAAACAGCUCCAUCAUCUGAAAAGUGGGGCUUCAUCCAGGAGCCCGGCUCUGUCGGGCGGUCUGAAGACACGCACACGCCACCGUCAUCCUCAGAUUCCCCUGCCCGACGGCCUGUCGCGGCGCAAGGCGUGCAAGUUAUUUGUAUUGUUCCUCCAGUGCACAGAACUCCCUCACGCCCUUUGCUUUCUCCGAAUGAACUCCGAUUUCAUAAUUCAGCGAGAGCGCCAGCGGCGGUGGCAGAGCGAGCGGCCUGAAGGUGAUGGCCCCAGGAAUCCCGAAAGGGCAAGCCGGGGAGGUGGGCUCAUCGCGCGUCGGCCCCUUGGCUGUGCUCGCGGGACUCCCCCGACGAACUCCUCCGAGAAGACAGCGGCAGGAACCACCCCACUCCAGGUCCUCAAAACCGGCCGCCUCUGCCUGCUCAUUUCACGCCAUUCACAGGAUGUUGUCCCUUUGAACGAGCAUGGUUUCUGGGUGUCAACCGCGAGUCUAUUAGCACAGACACUGUGAUAAUGAAUGGAAAUUUACAUCCUGUGUAAUCUCAUUAAUUGUGCGAUCAUAUCGGUUUUGACAGUUUUAAUGCAUUGCUAACGAAAAUAGUCUAAUACACGACAUUAAAGAUCUUAUCAAGGUUAAUUUGCCUUAAAAUGUAGUUACUAUGUAAUUUUUCACUUCCAUUUAGAUGCUGUGGUUUAAACACAUGGCAAUUUGACCCAGAAGGAAAGUACCCACACAUUCCCACAGAAUCAGAGUGGCCUUCCUCACCUCUCAGGGGGCGAAGGGGAGAGGGAAAUAAGCAUGGGAUUUAGCACCGCUGGGGCGCGUUUCCAGCUCAGCACAUAUGUGCUGUGUGACCUUGGGCAGAGUGCUGAACCUCCCCGGGCCUUGAGUUCUUCGCAAAGGGGUGCAGGAAUCCCUACCUCACUGGAUCAUCAUAAGGUGGAAACAGGUGCACAGAAGGCCCAGCAGAGCACCUGGCACCUAGUAGGUACUUUUUAUUCUUCUUCGCCGUCACAUGCUCAACAGCUGGCACCAGGCGUGGCACGUGGGAAGUCCACUUUCAGUGGAUCCAGGGUGGCCAAGGAGACCGCGUUUAAAGAGACAGCUGAACAACAUCGACAGACCAGCCAGUGACAAUCCAGAGCCAAAGAGAAAGUGGGGGAGGCGGAG